UUCCAAUAAAGUGUUUAAGUCAACUAUGCAUUUCAUAAUAUUAUAAAAUGCAUAGUUGACUUAAAUAAUGAAGACUAAGAGAAAUCAAAAGUUAAUCCGACUCACUCAUCCAUCAGGAGUAUCUUUCAUCUAUAUUGCAGUGAAGGAAUCAAAUAUAGUCUUUUUAGUUUUACAGUCACAUCACUUCGGUCAUUUCUUAUAACUAUUUAAAAUUCUUUUACUCAAAUCAAAUUCAUUUAUAUCAUGUUUCCAGAUUACAUAAAGAUCACAAAAAAAAACAAUCAUCUCACAGUCUUAUUACAUCAUCAGUAGCCAGAAACAGUUAAAAACAUCCAAAAUUAAAACGUUUGUUAUAAGUUGACACAAUUCAAACAUUUUUAGGUUUCCCUUACAUAUAAAUAACCUAAAUAAGAGAUAUUUAAACUUUUACCCCAAUUUGUACACCAGUUCACAACCUUCCAGAAACGCAAACACAGAACAAAAGGGGCGUAGCAUUUUGACCACAUAUAUUGACAAGAAGAAUAGAACUCACUGCGACUCAGAUAUUACAUCGAUUACCCGCGCUGAGGCAAAAAAGCAAUUUUAAAUGUUUGCGGUCAAAGCACAAGCUCAUACUAUUGGUUUCAGAUGAUUUCAACUCGAUUUUUAACGAAGCAUUGGCUAUCCCAACAUAUUUAUUGGGAUUUUUGCUGAAUUGCUGUCAUUUUAUAUAGAAACAGUAUUAACAGAACAGAUUUCAAUGUUCAAAAUGACACCAUAACCAUACUAAAUUAUCUACCACUAGCAAAUCUUUGUUUCGGAAAGUCCACACCUUUGCGAUUAUGAAAAUGGAGAGGUCGAGCAUGUAAAACAUGCUCUCACUAUCAAAAAUCAGUCCAAAACGGCAGCAUAACAAGAACCAUUUGAAGUCCUCAAAGUUGAGUAAAAAUUAUGGAUGCAUGCAGGAAGGUACUAACAAUAAGCAAUAUGUUUAAAAAGAAAACAAAACCAUUAUAUCCUUUUGAUAAAUCACAGAUCCUCUCUCUUAGAGAUAUAUACUUAAAUUAAAACGUGAAACUAUAGACAUGUUAAAAAAGUCUUAAUUUGAAUAGAGGAGAUGGCUGGAAAUUAUAAAUACCAAGAAUCCCCUCUCCAAAACUACGAAAUCCCAUGUGUAUGACUCAAACUAAACCUCAAGUCCAUCAAGUUACAGUUCCUGUAAAAGAAUUGACUCUCCGGGAAA